rnacentral:lncRNA from 1 species
GUGAAAAAGAGUUUUAUUGUGUUGGAACAGCUCAGAGGAGUGGGUGGCUCCUCUCUGUAGGCAAUUAUCCCAUUGGGUGUUCAGCUCUCAGCUGAGAGAAGGCCCUGAAAAGAGUGGCUCCUCUCUGCAGGCAAGUCAUUCAGAUGUCUGCAGGUCUCUGAAGCUCUCAGCAGACGGCAGCUCCUCUCUGCUAACAGUUUCUCUCUGAAGGUGGUCGCCCAUCAUCUCCAGUUAUCAGUAGAGUACUCCUCUCUGCAGCUGGUCAUCCCGUCAUCCUCUGCCCUGCUCUGGCUGAGCCCAGGGCUUUUACGGACCUCAGAGAGGAGGAAGUACAUGCUGAUUGGUCCAUAGGCAGCCAUGAGCAGCACGGAAGAGCAUGAGUCCCCACUCCUGUUGGAGGGACUGGCAGCCACUGGCAGCCUGGUCCCCAGUCUUCAGGACCUCCCUGGCUGGAAGGUGGGGACUUACUGGGGACUCGCCCCUUCCAUUCAGGACUCUGUCUGAACAGUUAUACUGUGGAAAGUUAUUCAAAUUUCAAAUUUAUUUACAGUGUUUGAAAAGCACACAACAGAAGAUCUUCAUUUAUGCAACAAGUCAAUCAUUUGCAGUAUGUAUGGAAAAUAAAAAUCUAAGAAUCAAGGCCAUCAAGCUAUAGAUGGUCUUACAAAUGGAAUCCCAAAUGAACUCAACUAACAACUUCUAUCAAGGACCCCUGGACUGACCCGCUGGCCCUUUCACUGGCCUAAAGAGUUCCCCUCUGGAGGACACUACAACUGCAGGGCCCCUUCUUUGCCCCUAUCCAGCAAGAAGUAGCUACAGCGGUCAUCGCCCAAUUCCCAACAACAGUUGGGGUAUACUGUUUAGAGGGGGGAUGGAGAGGUGAAGCCAGUUGGGCUUCUGGGUCGGGUGGGGACUUGGAGAACUUUUCUGUCUAGCUAAAGGAUUGUAAAUGCACCAAUCAGCACUCUGUGUCUAGCUAAAGGUUUGUAAACACACCAAUCAGCACUCUGUAAAAUGGACCAAUCAGCAGGACAUGGGUGGGGCCAAAUAAGGGAAUAAAAGCUGGCCACCCCAGCCAGCAGUGGCAACCCGCUCGGGUCCCCUUCCACACUGCGGAAACUUUGUUCUUUCACUCUUCACAAUAAAUCUUACUGCUGCUCA